CCUUCAUGAUUCACGCUGGAAAAGAAAGCACUUCCCUGUCCUCAGAUGAACUCUCGCCGCGCUCUGGAGGAGGGGACGGACGCGCGCGCGCGCGCACAAGCAGAACUGGGUCAACUGCAGACGAGUCAAAAGAAGCGAGAGAGUGUCGUGUUGAGCUGACAGCACAGCUGUGUUUCCAGUGGAUCACAGACAGACAGGUGAUGUGUCCUGUCUGGCUCUUUGGCUGCGCACCAAGUAAUGUGAUCAAUCAGAGUUUCUCCUUUAAUCACACCGGUCAUCCCAGUAUAGAUGCAACAUCUGGAUUUCAUCGCCGCUGGAGUGAUGAUAAACACUCUCACAGCUGAUCCAAAACCCACAUCGCACGGAUGGAGUCAGUAGACAUCAGACAGAAGCUCAGAUGAAGCUAUACGUAGAUCCUACUCACUGGAUUAUUGGUAGGCUAUUAGUUGUGUGCUUGUGUGUGUUUGGUAUCUAAUAUACUGCAGAUAAACGGCCUGACAACUGCAUUUUCUCAUUCACAGCCUGCUGUUUCAAUUAUGUGCACAAGAACGUGAUAAUAGAAAAAACAAGAACAAUGUAACUUUGAGCUCCGGCGACGUCUGCUGGCAGCUCUGGGUACUGCAUCGUUCCAGUGCGGCUUUAUUUUGUUACUCAAACAAGCUUGCUUUCCCACAUUAACUUCCAAAACAUUCUUGUAAUAAAACAUAGUAUAUUUCUUUGAAAAAGUGAAGA
ensembl:lncRNA